rnacentral:rRNA from 1 species
GAUGAACGCUGGCGGCGUGCCUAAUACAUGCAAGUCGAGCGAAUGGAUUGAGAGCUUGCUCUUAUGAAGUUAGCGGCGGACGGGUGAGUAACACGUGGGUAACCUGCCCAUAAGACUGGGAUAACUCCGGGAAACCGGGGCUAAUACCGGAUAACAUUUUGAACCGCAUGGUUCGAAAUUGAAAGGCGGCUUCGGCUGUCACUUAUGGAUGGACCCGCGUCGCAUUAGCUAGUUGGUGAGGUAACGGCUCACCAAGGCAACGAUGCGUAGCCGACCAGGGAGGGUGAUCGGCCAGACUGGGACUGAGACACGGCCCAGACUCCUACGGGAGGCAGCAGUAGGGGAUCUUCCGCAAUGGACGAAAGUCUGACGGAGCAACGCCGCGUGAGUGAUGAAGGCUUUCGGGUCGUAAAACUCUGUUGUUAGGGAAGAACAAGUGCUAGUUGAAUAAGCUGGCACCUUGACGGUACCUAACCAGAAAGCCACGGCUAACUACGUGCCAGCCGCCGCCGUAA